GAAGCAAACUAUUGAAAAGUUU
rnacentral:snRNA from 1 species